GGAUGUGAGGGUGAUCUGGCUGUGAUCACCAGGGUUGAUUUUGCUAAUCUGUCUGGCUAGGCAGGUGUCCCCCUUGCUCCCUCACUGCUCCAUAUACAUUGUUCCCAAAGCUGCUAAACGGGGAGACCACGUCUCAUAUUGUCUUCUGCCUAUUCUGCCUCAAAGGAAAGAGAAAGUGGAGUUGAAGAAAAGGCAGAAGUGAAAUUCAAUAGUCAGACAGCCUGGUGCCACACCCCAGGCCUGGUAGUUAAAGAUUGACCCCUGACCUAAUCGCUUGUGUUAUCUA
rnacentral:sRNA from 1 species